UGCCAGCUUGAUCCAGGGAAGACCUGUUUUCUAUGGGCCUGGGCCACAUAAACCAAACCACAAUCGGGCCAGAUAUGGCAUGCCAUCACAUAGACAGUGCCAUCUAUGCCAGGCCUGGCCCAUAUCUGGAUGACAUACACCUUAUCACGCCAGAAGUCAGCCAGCAGUGCCGCCUUGAUACCAGAUCUGGGCCAGACCUCCUUGCUAUGUGGGGGAGAGGCCGAUCCAUGACUGCUAAUGUUCCAUUGUGUGUGUGUUUAUACUGCACCGACAGUGUGUUUGAGAUUAUUGUCAUGCCAUCAAUUUUGAUGGAAUGAAUCAACACCACUGACUGAAAUGCAGCCCCAAAUCAUGGCAGGGCCUGUAGAUGGCUGUAGAUAUUCACUGUUGUGCCUCUCUCAUGAUAUACUCCAACUUUGUUUUAUUGAUUUCAACGAUGACAUACAAAGUUAGCAACAGCAAAGUCGAUCUUGAUUUCAGAACAGUUGUAUGUCCAUUGUCCCCUCCAACCCCCCCAUCACGAAUUCUCCCCCUACCAGGUCCACACUAGACAAGACACCGCAGAGAGCCAGUCUCUGCCCACACACACAAAAAAAGAAUAUCACAAGACCCAUACACAUAGCAAGCAUAACCCAAAAAAACAACAACAACCCCCCCCCCCCCACACACACACACAAAAAACAAAAUAAAACAAAAACAGAAACAGAAACAAAAAACAAAAAACAAAAAAGGGACCAAACAAAACCAAAGGAAAAACAAAUAAAUAAAGUAAAAAUAAGAUAAAAAAAAAAAAAAAAUCCAAACUUUAUAAUGUAGCUUCACUCAGUUCACUUCAGACUCCACCAGUAAGAGAGAUGAUUUCCAGAUUAUGUUAAAUUUCCUAAUAGAACCUUUUAGAGAGAAUCUAAGUUUUUCCAACUUUAAGUUAAAGAGUACAUCUCUCACCCAAUGAUUAUGAGUUGGGGGGUGAGGAAGCUUCCACUUCAACAGAAUAAGCCUCAGAGCUAGUAAAGUGGUAAAGGCUAGGGCCUGUUUGAGGGGGCCAGAUAAGUUCAAGUCGGGAGGAAUGCCAAAAAUUGCGGAGAGUGGAUUAGGAGGGACAGUCUGGCCAUAUGCUUGGCUAAGUUUGUCGAAUAUGUCGAAGACCAAAACAUGUGGACAUGGUUCAUAGGUGAUAGUCCACAUCUGCUACAGGGAUCACUAAUGGUUGGAUAGAUUUUAGAUAAUUUUGCGUUUGUAUAAUGUACUUUAUAGACCACCUUGCACUGAAUCAAAGCAUGACAGGCACAAAUUGAGGACGAGUGUAUCAAUUUCAAAGCAGAAUCCCACUGUCAUGGUCCCCGUGUCUGCCCGGCCAGCUCCACAAGGCCACAUGUGUUUGGUGUACAUUCUCCUCUCUCCUCCUCGCCAGGGCGGAGCUCACUGCAGGUUCCCGCCCUUGGCGCACACCUGCAUCUCGUCAGGCUCUGAUUACGGGUUGUGCUCUUAAGGCCGGGACGCAGACAGCCUCACUGCUGGAUGAUUAUGCUAGACACUUUUCCCCGGACCUGUGACUAACCUGUUGUUUCAACCACUGUAAAGAAGAAGAGCUAGCGUGUGAGUGACUCCAAUCCCGGACUUCCCUUUCGGACCUAGGACCCCCGUUCCCCUCACUGUAUAUAUCUGCACCUGGUGAUUGUGUAAAUAAAUGUUGUUUUCCCCUGAACUCUGCUCUGCGCCUGAGUCCUACUACACCGCAUG
ensembl:lncRNA